rnacentral:rRNA from 1 species
GUGGGGAAUUUUGGACAAUGGGCGCAAGCCUGAUCCAGCAAUGCCGCGUGCAGGAAGAAGGCCUUCGGGUUGUAAACUGCUUUUGUACGGAACGAAACGGUCCUGGCUAAUAUCCGGGGCUAAUGACGGUACCGUAAGAAUAAGCACCGGCUAACUACGUGCCAGCAGCCGCGGUAAUACGUAGGGUGCGAGCGUUAAUCGGAAUUACUGGGCGUAAAGCGUGCGCAGGCGGUGCUGUAAGACAGGCGUGAAAUCCCCGGGCUCAACCUGGGAAUUGCGCUUGUGACUGCAGUGCUGGAGUGCGGCAGAGGGGGAUGGAAUUCCGCGUGUAGCAGUGAAAUGCGUAGAUAUGCGGAGGAACACCGAUGGCGAAGGCAAUCCCCUGGACCUGUACUGACGCUCAUGCACGAAAGCGUGGGGAGCAAACAGGAUUAGAUACCCUGGUAGUCC